rnacentral:rRNA from 1 species
UACGAAGGGGGCUAGCGUUGCUCGGAAUCACUGGGCGUAAAGCGCACGUAGGCGGCUUACUAAGUCAGGGGUGAAAUCCUGGAGCUCAACUCCAGAACUGCCUUUGAUACUGGUGAGCUUGAGUCCGGAAGAGGUGAGUGGAACUGCGAGUGUAGAGGUGAAAUUCGUAGAUAUUCGCAAGAACACCAGUGGCGAAGGCGGACUCACUGGUCCGGUACUGACGCUGAUGUGCGAAAGCGUGGGGAGCAAACAGG